GGGGAAAAACGGGCGAAGGGGGAAAGGGGAAAAAUAAAGCUUUAUUUUUCCCCUUUCCCCCUUCGCCCGUUUUUCCCCUUCGCCGUUUU
rnacentral:miRNA from 1 species